UAAAUAAUUUAUAAGUUAACAACAUAUUUUGCUUAGGGGUCAUUGCUAAUCACUGUUUUAAUUUUAGUAUGAAAUAGACUCAUCACAUACAUUUUAGUAAGGCAAAAAUUUAACACUUAUUCUUGCACGUUAUCAAUGUGGACUGACGUCAUCGGCAACGCGGUGUAGUAGAAACGCAGAUGUAGAAACAGCUUGUCUUUCUGGAAUGUUUACUACUAUCUUUUCUUACAAAUACAGGAACUGAGACAUGCGAGAGAAUUUUUCGGAAAAAUAAUAUAAAAAGCGUGCGUAAUAUAAAAAGCGUAUAUAGCCAGGAGAGACAGUUCCUAUUUUUAAGAAAUGCAAACACCAUUUCUCACAGGUCAAUCGCAAAAUUAUGAUCUAUACGUUUAGUUUCUUUUUUUUCUUGCUCUGCGUCGCGUAACUUGCAUGUCGCAACGUUGCUCAUUGGGACCAUUGGGAAGCUGAAGUGUAUAUGAUUUGUGUUGUAUGUGAAAUAUUAGUUGGUAAACUUAAUUCCUGCCGCUCGCUAUUAGAAGUGCCGGCUCCAACGCUGGCGAGUUUCGACGAUGAAGUCGCAUGUUUUGUGUAGUUUAGACAUUACUGAAAGUGAUUCAAUCCUCACAGAUUAGAUUUUUCGAUGACAAACAAAUUUUCCAGUCGAUUGAAAAUGAACCGCGAUAAUCUGUUUUUCCGAGAUGUGCUUCUUCACUACUUCGACCUCAAGAAAACCGCAGCUGAAACGCAUCGCUUAUUAUCCGAAGUGUAUGAUGAUGAAACUCCAUCGGAAAGAACAUGUAGCAUUUAGUUUGAACGCUUUCGAAAAGGCGAUUUUGACUUGAGAGACAAAGAACGUUCCGGACAGUCGGAAAAAUUUGAAGAUGUCGAGCUGUAAGAAUUGUUCGAUGAGAAUUCAGCUCAACGCUUUUAGAGUUGUCGAAAGCGUUAAAUGUUACUCUAAUGGCCAUCUCAAAAUGUCAUGGGAAAAAUUCAUAAAGAAGGGAUAUGGUUACCAUAUGAGUUGUUAGAAAAUGCCGUUUUGAAUCGUUUGUCUAUCGCGACUUCUUUGCUUGUCAGGCAUAGAAAAGAGUUUUUUGUGGCGUAUCGUGACUAGCGAUGAAAAAUGGAUUUAUUUUGAUAAUCCCAAGCGGAGGAAAUCAUGGGCCGAUCUCGACCAACUAUCCAUCUCAACGCCGAAAAGGAAUAUUCAUUGGCAUAAGACUUUGCUCUGCAUUUGGUGGAACUAGGACGGUGUACUGUAUUAUGAGCUCUCGCGUCCAUACGAAACCGUUUCAGCUGAUCGCUACCAAUAGCAAUUAUGCCGAUUGAGUGACGAGUUAAUGCAGAAAAGACCAUCCGUAACCAACAAUCAACGCAAAGUCAUUCUUUUUUCAUGAUAACGUUUGACCGCAUGUUGCGAAAAGCGUAAAGCAGACACUUCUACAGUAUAAAUGGGAAAUCCUCUUGCAUUCAGCGUACUUUUCAGACAUGGCACCGUAGGAUUACUAUCUCUUCCAGUCGAUGGAACACGCACUUACAGACACACGCUUCUUCAUUUACGAAGAAGUUUAAAAAUGGAUGGAUGAAUGGAUCACCUCGAGAGACACCGCGUUCUAUCGUCGUGGGAUUGUCCUGUUGCCGGAGAGCUGGGAAAAGGUAAUAGAAAAUGGAGGAAAUUAUUUUGAUUAAGGUAUUUAUUUAUCUUCCCUUCGAAAUAAAUUAAUUUUGGAGACGAAAUAGCGUCAGGAAUUAAGUUUAUCACCUAAUAUAUCUUGCUUAUGAAUUGACAGAGUUGGAAUUCGAGUAAAUCACCAAAUUCUUUUUUCUCAUUGCUCGUGCAAACGCAAACAAACAGAAGAUAGGAAGUGAGCAAGAAGAGUUAGCAAUAAAAACUUAUUUGUUGUAGCAAGUGAAAGUGAUUAAGAAGAGACGGAUUGCCUUAUUGAAAAAGAAAUGAGCAUUAACUCAAAAGACAGGGGUAGUGAUAUACCCUUACAUACAGGGCAAACGGGAACGAUAAUUUAAAAGUUAAUAAAUUUUUUCAAAGUGGAGAGGCGAUUAUUAAAAUUAAAAGCAAUAAAUAUGAAAUUCCAAUAGAUAUUGCUAAACAUAUUAUUAGACAAAUUAUUAUUAAAGUCUUAGUAAUUUCAUUAAGUACAAAACCACACAUAUAAUCUUAAUACGAAAAAUUGUUAAAUGAAUAUGGUUUGGUCAUGGUAGGUUGAACUUGAAGCAGGUCAAGUCUCACAGCUUUUGGAUGAAGAUAUUAACCAGAUAUCUAUAAUAUCAAGACAAUAAGGUCAAUUUUGACAAGAAGGUCGCAUGUUUUAAUUACCUUUCGUAACUAGAAAUGGCCAAGGAAUGUACAAGUGUUACAGUUAGAUGUAAUAUCACAGUUUAAGGAGGAAGAUGCAAUAGAGUUUAUCAAAAAAUCACUCAACAUAGAACAGAAAAUGCAAUGAGGCAGAGAGAAAAUGGAAAUAAUUCUUUAAGAGAUUUUAAAUAUUGUGAGUGCGAGCGUGGCGUAACAGACAGUGCACUGGUCUGUUAUAUUGGAGUUCUCGGGUUCGCCUCGACAGAACCAAAAUAUUUGCAUAUGCUCGUAUCUCCUCUCCGAUGGACUGACAUCCAUCGAGAGUAUCUCUGCCGCAAAAACUACACUCAAAACUGCCGUUCGGAAUCGGCGUUAAACUGUAAGUCCCAUAUACUUGUAUAUAAAAUAUGCGUGCGCACCACAAGUAUAUGUAUGUGGGGUUUGUACGACAUUGAAAGAUGUUAUAAAUCCGACAUAUACAGAUAUUGUGUCUUAGAUCCUGAUGAUAUCUCCGCAGAUAUGUUUUUAAAUUUUGUAAGUGAUGAAACAAAAUUAGGAUUUGCUACUGAAUUAUCAAAGCAAUAUUCAAUGCUUAGUUUAGAACAUACAAUACUUAAUUUGCAUAGUACUACUAGUAUAGCAAGCAACCAAAAUACAAUUAGAAGAGCAAAAUAACGAAGAAGAGAUUUUAACAAAAACUCUAAAAUUAUUUAUCAAAGAUAAUGUAAGUUUGAAAAAUUUAGAUCACUCAAAAUCUAUUUACGAGGGUGGAUCAAAUAUAAACGAGCCUUUUUAAAUUGCGCGCCUGUCGGCGGCAUGAGGGGUCUGCAACGUAUUGGACAGUGGAGGGGAGUCAUGUAAGUGGAGGGAAGGCAGUAAUAACGUUAGUGCCCCACGUGCUUCUUACUUUUAGCAGUAAUCAUGAUGAGCG